rnacentral:rRNA from 1 species
CCUACGGGAGGCAGCAGUAGGGAAUAUUGCUCAAUGGGGGAAACCCUGAAGCAGCAACGCCGCGUGUAGGAUGAAGGUUUUCGGAUUGUAAACUCCUUUUGUUAGAGAGGAUAAUGACGGUAUCUAACGAAUAAGCACCGGCUAACUCCGUGCCAGCAGCCGCGGUAAUACGGAGGGUGCAAGCGUUACUCGGAAUCACUGGGCGGAAAGAGCGCGUAGGCGGGAUAGCAAGUCAGAUGUGAAAUCCCAGGGCUUAACCAGAGAACUGCAUUUGAAACUGUUAUUCUAGAGUAUGGGAGAGGUAGGUGGAAUUCUUGGUGUAGGGGUAAAAUCCGUAGAGAUCAAGAGGAAUACUCAUUGCGAAGGCGACCUGCUAGAACAUAACUGACGCUGAUGCGCGAAAGCGUGGGGAGCAAACAGGAUUAGAUACCCCUGUAGUC